rnacentral:rRNA from 1 species
ACGUGAAAUCUUCGGAGAUGUCGUCUGGAGAAGCAGGAUAAGGGCGCUUAGGCGGGCGAAGUCUUCUGGAAAGAAGCGCCAAGGAGGGUGAUAGCCCCGUGGCCUGCCGGCGGCGUCUGUGUUCCGCUUUCUACGAGUCGAGUUGUUUGGGAUUGCAGCUCUAAGUGGGUGGUAAAUUCCAUCUAAAGCUAAAUAUUGGUGGGAGACCGAUAGCGAACAAGUACCGUGAGGGAAAGAUGCAAAGAACUUUGAAAAGAGAGUGAAAGAGUACCUGAAAUUGCUGAAAAGGAACCGAUGGGAGGCAGUGUGUCGGGCGGGCACUCGUGCCUGUCUGCAAGUCAGGCUUCCUUCGUUGCGUGGGAGAGGGCUUGGGACCUGUAUGGGCCUUUGACUCCGCCGCGCGAUGGAGGGACCUCUGACAAAAUGCCUCUUAUCAUCCCGUCUUGAAACACGGACCAAGGAGUCUAACAUGUGUGCGAGUGCUCGGGGUGCACCCCCCAGCGCGGAAUUAAUGUGAAGGCCCCCUUGGGGGCUGAGGUAGGAUGUGAAAGCAGCACUAUCGACCGACCAUGAUCCUUCGGGAGAAAGGUUUGAGUGUGAGCAUACAUGUUGGGACCCGAAAGAUGGUGAACUAUGCCUGAGUAGGGCGAAGCCAGGGGAAACUCUGGUGGAGGUCCGUAGCGAUUCU